UACGUAGGGGGCAAGCGUUGUCCGGAUUUAUUGGGCGUAAAGAGCGUGUAGGCGGCCUUACAGGUCAGCUGUGAAAACUCGAGGCUCAACCUCGAGACGUCGGUUGAAACCGUAAGGCUAGAGUCCGGAAGAGGAGAGUGGAAUUCCCGGUGGUAGCGGUGAAAUGCGCAGAGUAUCGGGAAGAACACCCGUGGCGAAGGCGGCUCUC
rnacentral:rRNA from 1 species